UGCCAGUGAUAAACUGGAGGAAGGUGGGGAUGACGUCAAGUCAUCAUGGCCCUUACGACCAGGGCUACACACGUGCUACAAUGGCAUAUACAAAGAGAAGCGACCUCGCGAGAGCAAGCGGACCUCAUAAAGUAUGUCGUAGUCCGGAUUGGAGUCUGCAACUCGACUCCAUGAAGUCGGAAUCGCUAGUAAUCGUAGAUCAGAAUGCUACGGUGAAUACGUUCCCGGGCCUUGUACACACCGCCCGUCACACCAUGGGAGUGGGUUGCAAAAGAAGUAGGUAGCUUAACCUUCGGGAGGGCGCUUA
rnacentral:rRNA from 1 species